rnacentral:rRNA from 1 species
AUUGAACGCUGGCGGCAGGCCUAACACAUGCAAGUCGAGCGGGGUUUUCGGACCUAGCGGCGGACGGGUGAGUAAUGCGUAGGAAGCUACCCGAUAGAGGGGGAUACCAGUUGGAAACGACUGUUAAUACCGCAUAAUGUCUACGGACCAAAGUGUGGGACCUUCGGGCCACAUGCUAUCGGAUGUGCCUACGUGGGAUUAGCUAGUUGGUGAGGUAAUGGCUCACCAAGGCGACGAUCCCUGGCUGGUUUGAGAGGAUGAUCAGCCACACUGGAACUGAGACACGGUCCAGACUCCUACGGGAGGCAGCAGUGGGGGAUAUUGGACAAUGGGCGCAAGCCUGAUCCAGCCAUGCCGCGUGUGUGAAGAAGGCCUUCGGGUUGUAAAGCACUUUCAGUAAGGAGGAAGCGUUGGGUGUUAAUAGUACUCAGCGUUGACGUUACUUACAGAAGAAGCACCGGCUAACUCUGUGCCAGCAGCCGCUGUAAUAC